rnacentral:rRNA from 1 species
UACGAAGGGGGCUAGCGUUGCCCGGAAUCACUGGGCGUAAAGCGCACGUAGGCGGCUUUCUAAGUCAGGGGUGAAAUCCUGGAGCUCAACUCCAGAACUGCCGUUGAUACUGGAGAGCUCGAGUCCGGAAGAGGUGAGUGGAACUGCGAGUGUAGAGGUGAAAUUCGUAGAUAUUCGCAAGAACACCAGUGGCGAAGGCGGCUCACUGGUCCGGUACUGACGCUGAGGUGCGAAAGCGUGGGGAGCAAACAGG